rnacentral:snRNA from 1 species
AGCUCGAGUUUCUCUUCAUUGUCGCAUAAAAUCUUUCGCCUUUUACUAAAGAUUUCCGUGGAGGGGAACUUUUGCGAGUGAUCUGUAUUUUUGGGGGCUCUGCUCACAGCAGAGCU